rnacentral:rRNA from 1 species
ACGUCUACAUUAGAUACCCGGGUAGUCCCAGCCGUAAACUAUGCGCGUUAGGUGUAUCGGUGACCACGAGUUACCGAGGUGCCGAAGGGAAACCGUGAAACGUGCCGCCUGGGAAGUACGGUCGCAAGGCUGAAACUUAAAGGAAUUGGCGGGGAGCACCACAACAGGUGGAGCCUGCGGUUUAAUUGGACUCAACGCCGGGAAGCUCACCGGAUAGGACAGCAGAAUGAUUGCCGGGCUGAAGACUCUGCAUGACUAGCUG